rnacentral:rRNA from 1 species
UACCAGCACCCCGAGUGGUCGGGACGAUUAUUGGGCCUAAAGCAUCCGUAGCCGGUUCUACAAGUCUUCCGUUAAAUCCACCUGCUUAACAGAUGGGCUGCGGAGGAUACUAUGGAGCUAGGAGGCGGGAGAGGCAAGCGGUACUUAGUGGGUAGGGGUAAAAUCCGUUGAUCCAUUGACGACCACCAGUGGCGAAGGCGGCUCACUGGCCCGAUACUGACGCUGAGGCACGAAAGCGUGGGGAGCAAACAGG